CCCAAGCAAUGGCGGCAACUAAAUUACUCAAACCUAAAAAUAAAAAACCUCCCUCAAAACCAAAAUCUAGACAUUCUAACUUUUUCUUCUAUCUCCUGCAAAACCUAAACCAUUCUAACAAAACCCCCAAAUUCAAUCUCCUGCAAAACCUAAACAAUAAUUGUGCACCACACCAGAUCACCGCCGCACUAUUGUACCACUGCUUAUUUGCAACCUCUGGUGAACGUCGACUCUCCACACUCCGAAUUUCGAGGUAGCAUUUGUUUAUUCAGGAUGAUAUUUCGAAACCAGGUUUUGAUGUAGAUAUUUUUCAGUGCCCUCGUCAAGCUCCAGGAUCCAAGGAUAAGGGUUAUUAUAUGGGCCGCUACAUGAUCGAGACAAUAGAAUCCAGACAAAUGAUCAUUCCUAACAAGUAUUUUACCAAAACUCCCACGUAUUCUCAAACUAUGAUUGACGAGCUAAGGAAGAGGUGGAUGUCAUAUGUUACCAAUCACCAACUAAAUAACGAUGAAGAUGAAGAUGAUGAUGACGAUGAUCUAUUGUGACUUAAGAUAGUUGAGAUGGUUGUUGCAGAGUCUGUUCCUGCUGCAGACGCUGCUGUUGCUGCAGACGAUGUUGUUCCUGCUGUUACGGUGCUGUUACGCUGUUGUUCCUGCUGCAAGGGUUGCUGUUGCUGGAGAAUUUGUUCGCUGUUGCUGUUGAGUUUUUUUUAUUUUUUAUUUUUACAUGGAUAUCUAUUUUUGUCGUACCUUGGGUAGAAUUUUUUUAUUUUGUGGUACCUUGUGUAGAUAAUUUAUUUUGUUAUUGAAUGAAUGAAUGAAUAAUAUUAUUUUGUUAUUGAAUGAAAGGAAUUUUGGAAAGAA